GAAAUUAUUUUCUAGGGUUCCGCAAGUAGUUUUUUUGCUUGGACUGGUCCGAGAGAAAAUGCACGUGAUUCGUGUACACGGAGGGACAAAAGCCCGGGAGGA
rnacentral:sRNA from 1 species